rnacentral:rRNA from 1 species
AUUGAACGCUGGCGGAAUGCUUUACACAUGCAAGUCGAGCGGCAGCGCGGGGCAACCUGGCGGCGAGCGGCGAACGGGUGAGUAACAUAUCGGAACGUACCCAGUCGUGGGGGAUAACUAUCCGAAAGGAUAGCUAAUACCGCAUACGACCUGAGGGUGAAAGCGGGGGACCGAAAGGCCUCGCGCGAUUGGAGCGGCCGAUAUCGGAUUAGCUAGUUGGUGAGGUAAAGGCUCACCAAGGCGACGAUCCGUAGCUGGUCUGAGAGGACGACCAGCCACACUGGAACUGAGACACGGUCCAGACUCCUACGGGAGGCAGCAGUGGGGAAUUUUGGACAAUGGGGGGCAACCCGUGAUCCAGCCAUUCCGCGUGAGUGAAGAAGGCCU